CGAAAAUCCUAACAAAAUUUGGCUAGAAGGACUUUGGAUGGUAUUAAAUUGAAGUUGAGGGAUGGUGCCUAAAGAACCUAGAAGUUAAAGGACGACGAGUGAAAUUAAGCUUGAUUUUGAGGGUGCUGAUUAGGGAUGAUUUUGGAGGCAAAGUUGGAGGGCUGAUUGAGACUUUGGCUUUUAGGUUGAGAUUUCAAAUUUUUUUUUUUUAAUUUCAAGUUUGUUUAGUUCGGCCAUGAGUGAGUUUGAUUUCUUUCCAUUUUAGGUUGAUUUUGUUUAAUUUCUUUAGAAACUCAUGUUUAUAAUAUCUUUUAAAGCCUAACAUUGAAAGAUUUGUUAGAUAUUUGGGAGAGGCGAAGGGAAGAGAGGAAAGUGGGGAGAGAGAAGAACAUCGCAUAGAGAGAGAGAGAGAGAG
rnacentral:misc_RNA from 1 species